CUCGUUUAUUCAUUAGGUGCCGACCACCAAAUAUGAAGGCAGCGUACAGUGCUGAAAAUAGAAAAGAUUUCUUCCAGUUCUCCUGCAUCCACUGGAUGGCCUCAUGCUCGUUGAACUGCUUCUCGAAUUCGUAUUCCUGCAAAGUCAACACGGACAUGUUCAUUGGCCCGGUGGCUGCGGAGCCGCUCCCCGCGCCGAAAUGCCGCCUGCCGCCUCGGGAGCCGGAGAGCUCCCGCCUCCGGCCUGGCCGCCCCGCCUCAGCGGUACCCCAGGUUUAGCAUAGCUCCGCUCCCCUCCGCGCCUCUCCUCCCGGGCCCGCCGGUCUCCUCCUCUUCUGCAGCCGCCGCGCCGCGCAGCG
rnacentral:lncRNA from 1 species